GAUGAACGCUGACAGAAUGCUUAACACAUGCAAGUCAACUUGAAUUUGGGUUUUUAACUUAGGUUUGGGUGGCGGACGGGUGGGUAACGCGUAAAGAACUUGCCUCACAGCUAGGGACAACAUUUGGAAACGAAUGCUAAUACCUAAUAUUAUGAUAAUAGGGCAUCCUAUAAUUAUGAAAGCUAUAAGCGCUGUGAGAGAGCUUUGCGUCCCAUUAGCUAGUUGGAGAGGUAACGGCUCACCAAGGCGAUGAUGGGUAGCCGGCCUGAGAGGGUGAUCGGCCACAAGGGGACUGAGACACGGCCCUUACUCCUACGGGAGGCAGCAGUGGGGAAUAUUGGACAAUGGACCGAGAGUCUGAUCCAGCAAUUCUGUGUGCACGAUGAAGUUUUUCGGAAUGUAAAGUGCUUUCAGUUGGGAAGAAACAAAUGACGGUACCAACAGAAGAAGUGACGGCUAAAUACGUG
rnacentral:rRNA from 1 species